rnacentral:rRNA from 1 species
GACGAACGCUGGCGGCGUGCUUAACACAUGCCAGUCGAACGGAAAGGCCCUGCUUUUGUGGGGUGCUCGAGUGGCGAACGGGUGAGUAACAAGUGAGUAACCUGCCCUUGACUUUGGGAUAACUUCAGGAAACUGGGGCUAAUAACGGAUAGGAGCUCCUGCUGCAUGGUGGGGGUUGGAAAGUUUCGGCGGUUGGGGAUGGACUCGCGGCUUAUCAGCUUGUUGGUGGGGUAGUGGCUUACCCAGGCAUUGACGGGUAGCCGGCCUGAGAGGGUGACCGGCCACAUUGGGACUGAGAUACGGCCCAGACUCCUACGGGAGGCAGCAGUGGGGAAUAUUGCACAAUGGGCGGAAGCCUGAUGCAGCAACGCCGCGUGCGGGAUGACGGCCUUCGGGGUGUAAACCGCUUUCGCCUGUGACGAAGCGUGAGUGACGGUAAUGGGUAAAGAAGCACCGGCUAACUACGUG